rnacentral:rRNA from 1 species
GAUGAACGCUAGCGGCAGGCUUAAUACAUGCAAGUCGAGGGACAGCACAGGUAGCAAUACUGGGUGGUAACCGGCAAACGGGUGCGGAACACGUACACAACCUUCCUUUAAGUGGGGGAUAGCCCAGAGAAAUUUGGAUUAAUACCCCGUAAUAUAGUUGAAUGGCAUCAUUUGAUUAUUAUAGCUACGGCGCUUAAUGAUGGGUGUGCGGCUGAUUAGAUAGUUGGCGGGGUAACGGCCCACCAAGUCUACGAUCAGUAGCUGAUGUGGGAGCAUGAUCAGCCACACGGGCACUGAGACACGGGCCCGACUCCUACGGGAGGCAGCAGUAAGGAAUAUUGGUCAAUGAACGCAAGUCUGAACCAGCCAUGCCGCGUGAAGGAUUAAGGUCCUCUGGAUUGUAAACUUCUUUUAUUUGGGACGAAAAAGGGCCUUUCUAGGUCAACUGACGGUACCAGGUGAAUAAGCACCGGCUAACUCCGUGCCAGCCGCCGCCGUAAAAC